GGGCUCAGAGUUGCGGUGGUGAUGUGGAGUUGCAAACUCUAAGGGGAGAGUCUU
rnacentral:tRNA from 1 species